AAAAGGAACAAAUUACAGCCCUAACAAUACUGCAUUCUAAUUAAGACUUCAAAUGAAAUUAGAGAAAGGCAAACCAUUGAAACUUGACAAGUAAAAAUUGGAAAAUGCAGUGACCGAGGCAUUCACUAAAGAAAGAAAAUCAAAGGCACAACAUUAGAGCAGGAAGUACAAAUAAAUACCUGUGGAACUGACUUCAGCGAGGGGAAGUUAAUCAGCUUUGUGUGCAGCGAGGGAGAUGGUGGCGGAGAAGCUGUGUAUUAGAGAAAGCCCAAAAACCCUCAGAGAGCCGAGGAUUAUUUCGACCGACAAAUAGGCCCCAACAGUGUGGCGAACCAGGCCACUACGGCGUCAUUGGCGCAGGGAUGGAACGGCGGUGUUUUCCCAAACUUCUCCGCGUUCACACACUCCUCACAAUA
rnacentral:lncRNA from 1 species